GUAGGGCGCGAGCGUUGUCCGGAGUUAUUGGGCGUAAAGAGCUCGUAGGCGGCUCAUUGCGUCAACCGUGAAAACCUGCCGCUCAACGGUAGGCUUGCGGUUGAUACGGGUGGGCUGGAGUUCGGUAGGGGAGACUGGAAUUCCUGGUGUAGCGGUGAAAUGCGCAGAUAUCAGGAGGAACACCGGUGGCGAAGGCGGGUCUCUGGGCCGAUACUGACGCUGAGGAGCGAAAGCGUGGGGAGCGAACAGG
rnacentral:rRNA from 1 species